UUUUGAAAAGCAGCCGAACGCGUUUUUUGAAAUAUUUUGUGAGUGAACAAAAAGGAGCUGCUAAAAGUGCACCAAAUGAGCUCUCCGUUUCCAGCUCAAAGAUCCAGCCGGAAGAUGCGAAAUAUUGUUAAGGAGAAGUCAAGAAUGAUGUUUCCGAUUAUUGUUCCGGUAAAAAGGAAUCGAUUUCUUUUUCUAAUGAACAAGAUGAUGGUCAAGAAGGAUCGUAUGAAAGUGCUACAUUCAAAAGUGGAGUUCCUAGGAUCAAAAAGCAAAUCCAACUUACCGUAACAUUUGGCCGGAAGCUCGCACAAAAGCGAUAAUAUACAAGACGAAUGGUGGUUCAUCGUAUCGCUGACGCAUCGCGUAUCGUAUUCAUCUAACCAGUCAAAUUCCGGGUUUGACCGCUUCUGCUGGCGUUUUUUUGCUGAUAGAAGCAGCCGAACAUCUGCCUUUUUGGGCAAAUCCGGAAACGUUCAAGGGGCGAAUUUUCAUCUACCUUGACAGCUGGUGCUAGUGGAAAACGGCGGGGAGGCAGAUAAUCAAUCAAUUUGGCUGCAAGCUACCAGCAGGGCUAGGAAACGGUUCAGGCAAGGAAAAGUGAACAGCAAUUACCUUUUGCUUUGAAACUAGCGCUUCUCAAGCUAAGUCUUCCCAAUCACGAAGUCGACGCACAAAGUUAUACGGAAUAACUUGAAAUUAUCAAUCGUUAAAACGUUAA